AAACCAACAGGGAUUGCCUCAGUAACGGCGAGUGAAGCGGCAAAAGCUCAAAUUUGAAAUCUGGCAUUUUCGGAUGUCCGAGUUGUAAUUUGAAGAACAGUUCUUGGAGAGGCGCCUUGUCUAUGUUCCUUGGAACAGGACGUCGCAGAGGGUGAGAAUCCCGUUUGGCGAGGUGUGCUGAUCCGUGUAAGAGCCGUUCGACGAGUCGAGUUGUUUGGGAAUGCAGCUCUAAGUGGGUGGUAAAUUCCAUCUAAAGCUAAAUAUUGGCGAGAGACCGAUAGCGAACAAGUACAGUGAUGGAAAGAUGAAAAGAACUUUGAAAAGAGAGUGAAAAAGUACGUGAAAUUGUUGAAAGGGAAGGUUAUUAGAUCAGACUUGGGGGGCGGUUAUAUUUGUUCUCUUGUAGGGCAUUCACUAGCUGUCGUUUCCCAGGCCAGCAUCGAUUGGGGCGGCGAGAAAAAGAGGGAGGAAUGUGGCUGUGUGCAUUUUGCGUGCAGUGUUUAUAGCCUCUCUUAAUAUCGCCUGGCUCGAUCGAGGACUGCGGCAUUAUUGCCUAGGAUGCUGGCGUAAUGAUCUAAUAUCGC
rnacentral:rRNA from 2 species